AAAAUACGAAAAGUAAUAUGAAUUGCAGAAACGAAUCAUCAACUAUUUGAACGCACAUUGCGCCCGCCAGUAUUCUGGCGGGCAUGCCUGUUCGAGCGUCAUUUCAACCAUCAAGCCCCCGGGCUUGUGUUGGGGACCUGCGGCUGCCGCAGGCCCCGAAAACCAGUGGCGGGCUCGCUGUCACACCGGGCGUAGUAGAUUUUUCGUCUCGCCCAGGGCGUGCUGCGGGUUCCGGCCGUUAAAAAGCCUCUCUUUUAACCCAAGGUUGACCUCGGAUCAGGUAGGAAGACCCGCUGAACUUAAGC
rnacentral:misc_RNA from 1 species